rnacentral:rRNA from 1 species
UACGUAGGCAGCGAGCGUUGUUCGGAGUUACUGGGCGUAAAGGGUGCGUAGGCGGUUGGGUAAGUCUGAUGUGAAAUCUCACAGCUUAACUGUGAAACUGCAUUGGAUACUAUCCGGCUCGAGGAAUGGAGGGGAGACUGGAAUACUUGGUGUAGCAGUGAAAUGCGUAGAUAUCAAGUGGAACACCAGUGGCGAAGGCGAGUCUCUGGACAUUUCCUGACGCUGAGGCACGAAAGCCAGGGGAGCAAACAGG